rnacentral:rRNA from 1 species
CCCCUAGUAACGGCGAGUGAAGCGGGAANAGCUCAAAUUUAAAAUCUGGCAAUCNNUGNUUGUCUGAAUUGUAAUCUAGAGAAGCAUGUUCUGUGCUGGACUGUGUACAAGUUUCCUGGAUAUGGAACAUCAUAGAGGGUGAGAAUCCCGUCCUUGACACAGACUCCCAGUACUUUUGUGAUGUGCUCUCAACGAGUCGAGUUGUUUGGGAUUGCAGCUCAAAAUGGGAGGUAAAUUCCUUCUAAAGCUAAAUAUUGGCAAGAGACCGAUAGCGAACAAGUACCGUGAGGGAAAGAUGAAAAGUACUUUGGAAAGAGAGUUAAACAGUCCGUGAAAUUGUUAAAAGGGAAACGCUUGAAGUCAGUCAUGUUUGCUUGGAUUCAACCUUACUUAGGUUUGGUGCAUUUCCUUGCCAAUGGGUCAGCGUUCAUGUCAUUUCCUGGAAAAGGGCUGAGGGAAUGUAGCUCCUUUGGGAGUGUUAUAGCUUUUAAUUCGGAUGCAGGGAAAUGAUAUGGAGUGGUACAGCACACUUCUAUGUGGUGCUUGUGCUGGCAUAAUGGCUUUAAACGACCCGUCUUGAAACACGGACCAAGGAGUCUAACAUAUCUGCNAGUGUUUGAGUGGUUUUUUUUUGGGUGGCACUGGUGCCCCGAGCUGACCCUUGUGUGACGCAUCGGAGGNAGAGCAUAUAUGUUGGGACCCGAAAGAUGGUGAACUAUGCCUGAAUAGGGUGAAGCCAGAGGAAACUCUGGUGGAGGCUCGUAGCGAUUCUGACGUGCAAAUCGAUCGUCAAAUUUGGGUAUAGGGGCG